rnacentral:rRNA from 1 species
AUGCCGCCUCUCACGACCCCCAAGUCCGGCGACGCCCUCUUCGCCAGCGUCGAGCGCGUAAACGCCGAGCUCUUCACGCUCACGUACGGCGCCAUCGUGCGGCAGCUGCUCACGGAUCUCGAAGAGGUCGAGGAGGUCAACAAGCAGCUCGAUCAGAUGGGUUACAAUAUUGGAACUCGGUUGGUUGAUGAAUUCUUAGCCAAGUCAAAUGUAUCAAACUGUGCUGACUUCAAGGAGACUGCUGAUACUAUAGCAAAGACACUCAGCUAUGUUUGUCCGGUGAUAGCAUUCUUUACUGCUACAGUAGCUAUGCACCAUUCAGGGACAUUUCAUGCCCUCUCUUCUGCAAAUUCUCUUGGGUUCAAAAUGUUCCUGGGCGUGACUGCAACUGUAACCAAUUGGGAUGCUGAGGGUACAACUUGCAGCUUUGUAUUGGAGGACAACCCACUUGUAGAUUUUGUUGAGCUUCCUGAUACUUGCCAAGGUCUUCAGUAUUGCAAUGUGUUGAGUGGAGUUAUCAGGGGAGCACUGGAAAUGGUUUCCAUGAAGACGGAGGUUACAUGGGUCCGUGAUAUGCUUCGCGGGGAUGAUGCCUACGAGAUGCGGGUGAAGCUCACCAAGCAAGUCCCAGAGGAAUACCCCUACAAGGAUGAUGACUAG